UAGGGAAUCUCUCGNUNNAUGGACGGAAGUCUGACCGAGCAACGCCGCGUGAGUGAAGAAGGUUUUCGGAUCGUAAAGCUCUGUUGUAAGAGAAGAACGAGUGUGAGAGUGGAAAGUUCACACUGUGACGGUAUCUUACCAGAAAGGGACGGCUAACUACGUGCCAGCAGCCGCGGUAAUACGUAGGUCCCGAGCGUUGUCCGGAUUUAUUGGGCGUAAAGCGAGCGCAGGCGGUUAGAUAAGUCUGAAGUUAAAGGCUGUGGCUUAACCAUAGUACGCUUUGGAAACUGUUUAACUUGAGUGCAAGAGGGGAGAGUGGAAUUCCAUGUGUAGCGGUGAAAUGCGUAGAUAUAUGGAGGAACACCGGUGGCGAAAGCGGCUCUCUGGCUUGUAACUGACGCUGAGGCUCGAAAGCGUGGGGAGCAAACAGGAUUAGAUACCCUGGUAGUCCACGCCGUAAACGAUGAGUGCUAGGUGUUAGACCCUUUCCGGGGUUUAGUGCCGCAGCUAACGCAUUAAGCACUCCGCCCUGGGGGAGUACGACCGCAAGGUUG
rnacentral:rRNA from 1 species